GAUGAACGCUGGCGGCGUGCCUAAUACAUGCAAGUCGAGCGAACGGACGAGAAGCUUGCUUCUCUGAUGUUAGCGGCGGACGGGUGAGUAACACGUGGAUAACCUACCUAUAAGACUGGGAUAACUUCGGGAAACCGGCGCUAAUACCGUAUAAUAUUUUGAACCGCAUGGUUCAAAAGUGAAAGACGGUCUUGCUGUCACUUAUCGAUGGAUCCGCGCUGCAUUAGCUAGUUGGUAAGGUAACGGCUUACCAAGGCAACGAUGCAUAGCCGACCUGAGAGGGUGAUAGGCCACACGGGAACUGAGACACGGUCAAGACUCCUAAGGGAGGCAGCAGAAGGGAAUCUGCCGCAAUGGGCGAAAGCCUGACGGAGCAACGCCGCGUGAGUGAUGAAGGUCUUCGGAUCGUAAAACUCUGUUAUUAGGGAAGAAUAGAUGUGUAAGUAACCGUGCACAUCUUGACGGUACCUAAUCAGAAAGCCACGGCUAACUACGUG
rnacentral:rRNA from 1 species